rnacentral:lncRNA from 1 species
CAUCACUGCACUCCAGCCUGGGCGAUAGAGUGAAACUCCGUCUCAAAGAAAAAAAAAAAAAAAAAAGAACUGAGGUCACUGGAAGCUGAAGGGAUGGGUGAUUCACAUAAAGCCCUUCAGUGUCUGAGUUGUAUUCUGCCAUAUCCUAGCUCCACCCUUCAGUGUGACUUUUUAAGUUAGAGAACUUCCCACUUACAGUGUCAAAUGAGAACAGGACUUGCCUUCUCUCUUCAGGAAUGUAGGUACUGGGGAUUGACUGGGUAUUUGUCUGCCUAGGGUUACACAGGGAGAUAUCCAGGUUGGAAAGAGUAAAACUACAAUUCCCAGACUCCCUUGCAGCCAGGUUCAGGAUGUGAUUUUAGGUCCCGCCAACCAGAUAUACUUGUGGGAGACUGUGCUGUAGUAGAUCAUGCCAGAGGUGGACCCAGCAGCUAUACAGCUGUAACAGCAGCUCUCUGGCUUUGCAGCUUCCUAUACUUGCUCAAGAAGCUGGAAGUCUUGUUUGUGAGGUUGGAGAAACAAUGGCAACACUGGUAGCACCGUAAGCAACCAUCUGCCACUUUGUGUUUGCCCACCUACCUAUGGUGCCUGAGCACUGCUGCCAUGUACAGACUACACAGAGGUGGUUUUUUGCAAGAUAAUUGAAGAUAGGAGAGGACAUGACAGCGUUUCUCAGAAAGAAUGCUGCGGGGGAAUUUUCAAAGCAAGAAUCCCUUCCUAAGAAUUAAUUGGGAUGAAUAUGUGCAUGUUAGACAGUUGAGGCUAUAAAAUAAGGACAUGUCAGAAGUAGCAGUUCUAUGUCCUUCCCUUAGAAUUUCAUGAGGUGUAGGGUACCCUUCCCCACCCCAGGGCGCAUCACUGAAGUGUAGUGGUGGCAGCCAUGGCCUGAGGGCAGGUCAGCACAGAAAAACACCAACUCCACAGAGAGAGUCUGGCGGGAGCAGGUGCAUGGGCAUCUGGUGACCUGAGUUCCUCCAACAGAACAAGCCAUGGGGCCUCUUUGUGCCUCUGUUUAUUCUUUCCCCAAGUGGGGUCACUUCAGACAUUUGGAGAUAUGAGGCAACAAGGAGAUGGGAAAGUUCACCAACAAUGUAAACACUCUACAUGAGAGAGUUUUGUUGCCAAUGUGCUAGAAGAGGCAUGCUUCAGGGAAGAGGUGAGAAUCCUAUACAUGGGAAGGAAGGAAAGAAUCAAGCCCUGUAAAAGUACAAAGGAAAAAGAGACUAGAAGAGAUGUGGAGUUGGGGGAUCCUGCCAAGGAUCUGAGUGCAGCAAUGUUUACAGUGUUGAAUACUUGAAAGGUGCCCAGGGGCCUGGAGAUGACCUGUGGGGAACCUGCAGCCCUAGCCUACUGUGGCCACUGCCUCCUAGGUAAAUGCAUAUCCCAAAGUCCCUGCCUGCCUUCCCAGCCAUCAUGAUCUGGUGCUGACAAGGGGCUGUGGACACUCAAGGGGCACUCACUGGGGUGGGUUUGGGUAUAUUGCGGCAUGACAGUCUGGUUACGAUGCAGACCACCUGAGAACUCCAAGGCUGACAGCAGAUCCUCCAGUGUGUUGAACGCCUGACUCUAAUGGCAAAUGUUUCUCUUCAUUUG